UGGAAUAGACAGGCUAGACUGAGAACAGAGGCGUGCCUGCCAGAACCAAAUGUUCCCAAAACAAAUGGCUUUAUCAGAUGAAACUAUAACCCAGAUCUGAAAAUGAUUGAAUACAACUUCUGUGGUGAGAAAAACAACUUAAAGAGUAUGAAGACUGGCUAAAGUUGAACUUCAGGCCACGAAAGAUUCUCAAAAGCUGAAGCCGUGAAAGGGGGUUGCAGGGAGCACUCAGAGUUCAUGUUUCUACCUCCACAAAGUACAGAAACAUACAGUUGUUCAUGGAAUGUUUUUGUGUUCCUCCCAGGUGUAGCUGAUAAGACUCUAAUGUCUUCCAUAGCUCUCCAACAAAUAGCAUGACCAAGACAGUCACAGCAGCACCUCAUGCCUGGUCACGACUUCUGUCCUAGUCAGCCUUCUAUUGCUGUGAAGAGACACCGUAACCAGUGGAAAUAAAAGGAAGCUUUUACUUGGGUGGCUUGCUUUCAUAUUAGAGGGUGAGUUCAUGACCAUUGUGGUGGGAAGUAGACAGGCAUGAUGUUGGAGCAGUAACGAAGAGAUUUACAUCCUAAUCCUCAGAUAUCAGGUAUACAAUACACACACACACACACACACACACACACACACACACACACAAACACACACACGAAUGGGAGAAGGAGACCCAUAACCAGGAUGUUCUGUCUGGAUAUGAGAGACCAGUGAUAAUGCUCCAGUUAGUUCUGAGGGGGGCACAAGAGAGCCAGCUAGGAGAAAUACUGAUAGUCAUGUGAAGAUCCAGCUCACAGCUCUCGUGGGAUCAAUGAAUUGACUCUAUCACAUGCCAGGAGGAAAGAUGAUAAAUAAUUUUUUAACUUUUCUUGAUAAGCAAAAAGAACACCAGACUCUUGAAUAAUUUUAUGAGCAUUUCAAGGGAAAGAAUUACUUUCAUGUUAGUAGUUGUUUAUUUUUGAUUGUUACCUCAUCAGAAUGCAUCCCCCAAAUUAAGUCAUAUACAGUCACUGUGGCUCUACCACUCUCCUAUUCACUAUUCCUCAUAAGAAGCUACCCCAAACCCUAGUGGCUUAAAAAUGAUGCUGAGUUACUUUCUUUACUGUGGUAUAUUAGAGGCAGCACUUAAUGAGGAUAACUCAUUUUCAUCCCACCCAGUGUUAAGCAGCUCAAGAAAGGAGCCCUGAGAUCCCCCAUUAUCACAGGUACUCCAAGGGAUUGCCAAUAUCGGAGUUGUUCAUGAGAAAGGCUGGUCCAUUUAAAAAUAUUUUGAGCUACAAUGGACAAUAAGAAGCUGAUCUGGUAAGCAGGGAACAGAUGUGUUCUGCCUGGCUUCAUUUGGUCACAUUUGUUCAGGUUCAUUAUCAGAGACUGGGCAAGACAAAGUGGAGGAGGCCAUCCCACCAGAACUGCUGUAGUAUUCAUAGGUUCUGUAGGUGAGAAACCUGACCAAGAAGCGAAGGCCAAGAUUCCAUCUAGAGAGAAGGGAAAUGCAUCUGUGGAAAUUAAUGAGAAACGCAGACAUUCCAUCUGAGUUCAAAAACUGAAAACUGGUCAGACCAGAAAAAGAUCUAGAGAAAUAUAACAGGAGACAAAUUUCACAGGGUUUGCGACAUGAUAUCUUUGGAAUGGAAAAGAAUUUGUUUUGCUUUCCACUGCAGGAGAAUAGUCUCCAUGUCAAAGGGGACAUCCUGACUUUCUAGGAUCACCAGGAUUACCAUCUCCACAAGAGACACCUUCUUACAACCGGAGACAAAUAAACUUGUUCAGAAUUUAAGAGCCAGUGGAAUGCCUUUGGGCUUGGGCUCACUGGUUACUUAAAUCAAAUAAUUUUCUUCUUCUGGAUGUCUUAAAUCCCAAUGAUCACCAUAGGACACAUUAGAAAGACCAUGAAAAUUCUGGAAGGUUCCAUAGGAAAUGUUCCUGCCAGUAGGAUAUUAAGGUUGAACCAGCCAAGUGAAGAAGGGAAUCAUUGCUCUUGGAGGGUGUUGAAUUUCAACCAGAGACCAGAGAAGACACUCUAUCCUCAGAAUGCUUGAAGUUUUAUACUAGGCCACUCCUGGGCUGCUUGGACCUGAUCUGCCUUUGGACACAUCAGACAAGAAUUAAAGUGUUUGAUUAUUGUGUUUCAAACGUGAAUUUUCUCUGGCCUCAUCAGGGAAACUUGGAAAAGAUGAGACACCAUGUGCACUUUAAUUGUUAGGUGAUUGGCAAAGGAAUGCUCUUCCUUGUUGAGAAAAGCUGUCAGGGAACAGAGUGCAUUAAACCAAAACUGUUGCCACAUCUGCAUGUGGGGUUACAGGGCUCCGUAUACCCUCCCUGCAGCUAGGGUCAUAAUCCUACCAACAUGUCUUCUGUCAUCGUCAGUGAACCGACCCCAGACAGCAGGGCAGUGACAGUGAUCACGCCUUCUAGGGGCUCCAGAUGAACUGGUUUUGGUUAUUGUCUGUGCUCUGUGUUUCUACAUACAUUUACAAGGUGGACCAAUAGGAGCUCUCUCAGAGUGCUGACCCAUUCCAGACUGCUCUCUUUUCAGGGCUUAAUUUCCUUCUCCAAAUUCCAGUCCCUGAUACUAUCACAUUAAGGGUUAUAAUUUCAGUGUUUAAAUAUAGAGGCCACACAAGGGUUGAGUCCAUGGCAACCACAUAUCUCCUCCCCUUUCUUGCAGUUGCUCCCUCCAUUGUAGACGGGACAGCUUUUACUAACCCAUUUGGUUCUAUUCAUUUUUUAAAAAUUCUCAUUACCUUGGUUUUUAAACCAUCACACAAGAGACACAGUAGACACUCAUUAGACACAAGAAAUUCUUCUUCAAUGGGCGUGGGCGGAAUGACAUUUUGGUCUAACCUGACGCAGAGGCGCCUUUUGCAGUGUGGAGAGUGUUUUCUGCUUGUGCAGAAUGGGCGGCCAGAAGCACGGCUGACCUUAGCCUCUGCUUAAGCAGUAUCCUACUUCCCAGUUUCUUCUCUUAAGUACGUUGGUUCAUCUGAAUGGUAUUUUUAUUUGUUUGUUUGUUUGUUUGUUUAUUGAGACACAGUUCCAAAUAGCUUAGGCAAGCUUCCAACCUGCAGGGUAACUUAGAAUGACCUUUGAUUCCCGAUUCUCUUGCCUUUACCUCUCCCAUUCUGGGUUUCCAGGAUGUGGCCACU